GAUGAACGCUGGCGGCGUGCCUAAUACAUGCAAGUCGAGCGAACAGACGAGGAGCUUGCUCCUCUGACGUUAGCGGCGGACGGGUGAGUAACACGUGGAUAACCUACCUAUAAGUCUGGUAUAACUUCGGGAAACCGGAGCUAAUACCGUAUAAUAUAUUGAACCGCAUGGUUCAAUAGUGAAGUACUGUUUUGCUGUCACUUCUCGAUGGCUCCGCGCCGUAUUAGCUAGUUGGUAAGGUAACGGCUUACCAAGGCAACGAUGCGUAGCCGACCUGAGAGGGGGAUCGGCCACACUGGAACUGAGACGCGGUCCAGACUCCUACGGGAGGCAGCAGUAGGCAAUGUUCCGCAAUGGGCGAAAGCCUGACGGAGCAACGCCGCGUGUGUGAUGAAGGUCUUCGGAUCGUAAAACUCUGUUAUUAGGGAAGAACAAAUGUGUAAGUAACUGUACACGACUUGACGGUACCUAAUCAGAAAGCCACGGCUAACUACGUG
rnacentral:rRNA from 1 species